GGGGCCGUAGCUCAACUGGGAGAGCGCCGCGUUCGCAAUGCGGAGGUUGAGGGUUCGAUCCCCUUCGGCUCCA
rnacentral:tRNA from 1 species